rnacentral:rRNA from 1 species
UACAGAGGGGGCAAGCGUUGUUCGGAAUUACUGGGCGUAAAGGGCGCGUAGGCGGCCUGUUAAGUCGAACGUGAAAUCCCUGGGCUCAACCCAGGAACUGCGUCCGAUACUGGCAGGCUUGAAUCCGGGAGAGGGAUGCGGAAUUCCAGGUGUAGCGGUGAAAUGCGUAGAUAUCUGGAGGAACACCGGUGGCGAAGGCGGGUCUCUGGGCCGAAAUUGACGCUGAGGAGCGAAAGCGUGGGGAGCAAACAGG